GUGGUUAGCUUCGUACUAGGAUUUACUCCGAAAGCGAAGAAACUUACAACAAAGAGUCCCUCCCGACUGUUUACCAAAAACACAGCACUCUGCUAACUCGUAAGAGGAUGUAUAGGGUGUGACGCCUGCCCGGUGCUCGAAGGUUAAUUGAUGGGGUUAGCAUUAGCGAAGCUCUUGAUCGAAGCCCGAGUAAACGGCGGCCGUAACUAUAACGGUCCUAAGGUAGCGAAAUUCCUUGUCGGUUAAAUACCGACCUGCAUGAAUGGCGUAACGAGAUGGGAGCUGUCUCAAAGAGGGAUCCAGUGAAAUUGUAGUGGAGGUGAAAAUUCCUCCUACCCGCGGCAAGACGGAAAGACCCCGUGGACCUUUACUACAGCUUGACACUGCUAUUUGGAUAAGAAUGUGCAGGAUAGGUGGGAGGCUUUGAGUAUAUGACGCCAGUUGUAUAGGAGCCAUUGUUGAGAUACCACUCUUUCUUAUUUGGGUAGCUAACCAGCUUGAGUUAUCCUCAAGUGGGACAAUGUCUGGUGGGUAGUUUGACUGGGGCGGUCGCCUCCCAAAUAAUAACGGAGGCUUACAAAGGUUGGCUCAGAACGGUUGGAAAUCGUUCAUAGAGUAUAAAGGUAUAAGCCAGCUUAACUGCAAGACAUACAAGUCAAGCAGAGACGAAAGUCGGUCUUAGUGAUCCGGUGGUUCUGUGUGGAAGGGCCAUCGCUCAAAGGAUAAAAGGUACCCCGGGGAUAACAGGCUGAUCUCCCCCAAGAGCUCACAUCGACGGGGAGGUUUGGCACCUCGAUGUCGGCUCAUCGCAUCCUGGGGCUGGAGCAGGUCCCAAGGGUAUGGCUGUUCGCCAUUUAAAGCGGUACGCGAGCUGGGUUCAGAACGUCGUGAGACAGUUCGGUCCCUAUCUGCCGUGGGCGUAAGAAGAUUGAAGAGAUUUGACCCUAGUACGAGAGGACCGGGUUGAACAAACCACUGGUGUAGCUGUUGUUCUGCCAAGAGCAUCGCAGCGUAGCUAAGUUUGGAAAGGAUAAACGCUGAAAGCAUCUAAGCGUGAAGCCAACUCUAAGAUGAAUCUUCUCUAAGCUCUCUAGAAGACUACUAGUUUGAUAGGCUGGGUGUGUAAUGGAUGAAAGUCCUUUAGCUGA
rnacentral:rRNA from 1 species